CCUACGGGGGGCUGCAGUGGGGAAUAUUGCACAAUGGGGGAAACCCUGAUGCAGCAACGCCGCGUGAGUGAUGACGGUCUUCGGAUUGUAAAGCUCUGUCUUCAGGGACGAUAAUGACGGUACCUGAGGAGGAAGCCACGGCUAACUACGUGCCAGCAGCCGCGGUAAUACGUAGGUGGCAAGCGUUGUCCGGAUUUACUGGGCGUAAAGGGAGCGUAGGUGGAUAUUUAAGUGGGAUGUGAAAUACUCGGGCUUAACCUGGGGGCUGCAUUCCAAACUGGAUAUCUAGAGUGCAGGAGAGGAAAGUAGAAUUCCUAGUGUAGCGGUGAAAUGCGUAGAGAUUAGGAAGAAUACCAGUGGCGAAGGCGACUUUCUGGACUGUAACUGACACUGAGGCUCGAAAGCGUGGGGAGCAAACAGGAUUAGAUACCCCGGUAGUC
rnacentral:rRNA from 1 species